rnacentral:rRNA from 1 species
CGUGCAGGCGGCCCGAUAAGUUAGGUGUGAAACCUCCCGGCUCAACUGGGAGAGGACGCUUAAGACUGUCGGGCUCGAGGGUGGUAGAGGGAGGUGGAAUUCCCGGUGUAGUGGUGAAAUGCGUAGAUAUCGGGAGGAACACCAGUGGCGAAAGCGGCCUCCUGGACCACAUCUGACGCUCAGACGCGAAAGCUAGGGGAGCAAACGGGAUUAGAAACCCCGGUAGUCCUAGCCGUAAACGAUGUAGACCUGGCGUCGGUGGGGUAAAAGCCAUCGGUGCCGAAGCCAACGCGAUAAGUCUACCGCCUGGGGACUACGGCCGCAAGGUUAAA